AAACAGAAGUGGCAAUUCAAUAAGGAUCCUUCCAUUGCUCUUUAUACAGAUUUAAAUGCUGUCUUAUAAUUUAUCAGUUAUAUUUAUUUAUAAUUGGUAACUUUCUAAUCACUUGGAUUAGAAAUUACAGUAUUUACUGAGCUAAACUUUCACAAAAUAAGGCACAACUACAUGAUCACAAAUAGUAAACACAAUAUAAAUAAUGAACCCAAAACUAAAGGAGAAAAUACUCAUGCGAAACUAUGUACAGAGGCUAUGGAUACAGGAUCCAAUUCAGAGAAGCAUAAAAUGUUAGACUUGUCGGUGGCUGGACCAUGUUACAGUUAGUUCAUCACUACUUACAGAAAGAACACAGUGGGCUUUUAUUCUAUAUCAUACAACUUUACAUGAAUUCAGGAAGUUUAUACACAGUAUUCACAUGUGCAACAAUAACAAUUUGAUCAUUGAAAUUCAGGCAAAGGGCAAUUAAGACACAAAAAAUGUGGCACAUUAUAAUUCUAGAAGAUCAUUCAUCAAGCUUAUGUCUUAGGAGUACUAAAUUGAUGGCACAUUUAAAUCUUAUAGAUCAAGUUAUCCAUGGUUUUAAUAGCCAAAGUGCAUUAAAAAAAACUGCUAUAGUUAAACAGGUCACAAAUAUCAAAAUAUACGGCUGUCAUUUGCCUUCUACUUAAAGGCUAAACAUCUUAUGCAAAUGCAAGAGUAAAAAAGUAGCCAUAAAGACCUCGAAACUAUAUAAAAUAAUCAUGAAGACCUUUCAAGAGUCAUGGGAACAUAAAUUUGGCAGUUGCUAUUUAAUAUUACAAUAAGGAAACUAUUAAACUAGCUAAUUCCACUUUAAGAGGUAGUUGAACAAAAUGUUUAUUUGUAUACUGCACUGAGGUUUUUGUGUUUCUUUCUUCUCUUUCUUCAAAGCAAGUAAGUCCUAUAUCGCAGCUUUACCUGCUAUCUAUUACAAAUAUUCUGUACAUACAGUUUAUUGUACACAAACCCAGCACAACCUGAUUUUAACUCCCCUUUCUGUGCUGGGGUUUGCAGUUUGCCAGUAUCUGAUACCAAUUUCACAUGAUAGCCAAGAAUCAGACUCUGUGCAUGGCAGCUCCGACCCCCUGACGAUACAACUCUACUAGCAAACAUCUAACUGUACAGCCAGAAAGAACUCACAAGACUUCUUAAUUAAACGAGAAAAAAAAUCUUAAGGUUUUGUUUGUAGUCCAUACUGAACUGGUAAUAGUUAAGAGGAACAAAUGGUUUUUGGCUUCUUUGUGUCAUCAGUACAGUAGAGUGUAGUAGAGACAUUAAGUAGAGACACUAUUUGGGGACCUACGACAUAAGGUUAAUUGGGGGGGAACAAGAAAAUUACUAUAAACACAUAUGGUUUUCUUUUUGCCAUCCCUAAAAAAAAAGUCUUCAGUGUCUUCAAUUAACUGAUGAAAUGAACAAAUAUUUUAAUCCAGAAUUUUCACAAAGUAGUGCUGUGAAUAUGUGCAUUUUUCUCACAUACUUCUAGGUAUUUAUAUGCAAAAACCAAAGAUGUAGAAUUAGGACUACCUGAAAGGGUUCACAAUUAUGUAAAUUGCAUGAGGAGCUCAGUCUAUUGCCCAACUAUUAUUUUUUUUUUUUUUUUGGUUCUUUUUUUCGGAGCUGGGGACCGAACCCAGGGCCUUGCGCUUCCUAGGUAAGCGCUCUACCACUGAGCUAAAUCCCCAGCCCCUAUUAUUUUUAAUAUAGAGCCCAAGGAUAUGUACUUAUCCAGGUCCUGGGAUAUAAUCAGCAUCCUUAGUAAUUACCAAAAGCAGGGUUUAGCUUUGCUUAAUGAUUAAAAAUUAUAUGUCAGUCUCUAGUUUGUGUAUGUUUUAUGUCAUAAACACGAAGAUUCCAGCAUAUUCCUGACAGCAGUGUGUAUUAUAAAUUCUUUCUUGCAAAUGAAGCAUUAGCUCUUAUCUUUCUCUGCUAUUACUAUUAAGUGACUGCAAUGAUUCAAUGUAUAACUUUAUAUUUCUUCUUCAGAAAGAUAAUUUAAAACCUAGUAUGUAUUAAGCUCAGUCUUCGGAUGCUUCCCAACAAUAAGCUUAUCGGUUGGCAGACAAAUGACCUUUAAAGGGUCUAGCAACUGUGUUUCCAUUUUUAUCAUAAUUUAGGCGCUCCUAGGUAUAUGGAGGGGAGGGCUAUAUGGACCUGUUCUGUAGCUGUUGUGUAAUCUCACAGCACUACUUUUACAAAGUUAAAAGAUCCCCAGUCAAUAUGGACCCCUCACCAGAGACAUGAAGGCAGCUUUCUAAGUGUCCAUGUAUUCUUUCCUAUUGGGUUAAGAACUAUAAAGAAGAAUUUUACUAUUUCCUUCCUGUUUGUCUUCAGAUACAACAGUAGCAGUAGCAGUUCCUAUCUCUGAAAGGCUAAACUGCACGCACAAUUACAGUGAGGUUGAGCUACGCUUAGGAAGAUUAGAAAGCAAACUCCUAAAGAUGCCAAGAGGAGGGAGUGAGGCUGUGCUGUGAGAUCAGAAAACUUUCUACCAGCAAACAAACGAGACCAGGCCACCCCAGGGCUCUACUACUCACCCUCCAGUUUAGGGGGCGGGGGAGAGUUUCAUAUAAUAUUUUAAGGGACUGUGUGGAUGUCUGAAAUAAGAUAGAGAAAUGGAAAUUAACUCUAGUUUCAUAAAUACAAUCCCAGAAGUACCAUACAUUUUAUAUAGGAGUUCGUCAAAUCUACUUGAGAAUUUAAUCAAUACUGCCCAAACAAAAACACACUCAAAUUUAUGGUUAACACAUCAUUUAGCAUAAACUGCAUUUACAACACUCAAGUAAUAAGUAUAACAACAUAAUUGAGCUACAGACCUAUACAUGAGAAAGACAGUAAAUGUUACAUUCCUGUGCAUGACUCCACCGAGAGAACUGUUACUGUGCAACAAAGCCACAAGUGACACAAGCCAUCCAGAUACUCUACACAUACUCCAAGAGAAAGCAGCUAAGGAAGUGUACUCAUCAUUUGUGAAUAAUUAAAUUAUAUUUAAAAAAAUACAUUGCUAUUUUCUGUCCAAAGAUUAUUUACAUUUCAUUGGCUAAUUCUGACCUUGGCAUGAAAGCUGGUUUAGGGGCUUAAUGGAAAAAAGUAAUUAAAGAUGAACCCAAGUCUCACAAAAAUA
rnacentral:lncRNA from 1 species